UAGAGAAGUUACAUAGUCAAUUCUAACAAAACAGAAGGAGGAAACUCAGAAAAGAAUUUCAUUUCAUUUUCCUUGUGUGUUUGUGUAUGUUAAUGUCAACAAAAAUCCCAAUUCACAUCCCUAAAAUCAUAAAUAAUAAGUAUUGCACUAUACCCAAUCUCAAAUCUAACAAGGCAUGAUAUGUGUCGUUUUGGUCUGAUAGCUCAUCACCACCCCACCAUCUUUGCACCCAACCCUCAAAACCUUCACCAAAUCCGCACACAUCAUCCUCACAUUCCCUUCCCCUUCACUCUGCAUCACCAGCAAUAACUUGGUCAAACCAUUGCUCCUCAUAACCUUCUCCUGCACCCUCUCAUCCCUGAAUGAACAGCAUAAACUCCAUAGCACCAUUACAGCAUCCACCGUCGCCGUUUUCGAAACCUUCAUUAACCUCUCUACUAUACAUCCUACGCAUUUCGGGUCAUCGCUUAUCGCUUUUCUACCAUCCGCGCACGUCGAAACUAUCGAUGCCAGCUUUAAGGACUUCUCCACGAGUGAAACGGCUGCGUUUUUGUUUGAGAGUGCUUUAGAUAUGACUUGAACGAGUCCGAGUUGCACGAUUUGAUUCUUGAUUGAGCGAGUUAUGACUAUUGAGCUCAAGAGAGACAAAACUGCGUCGUGCAACGCUGGAUCGUUUUCUGCUUUGAGGAGAUGGAAAAGAACUGGCAUGAGAUUUUGUGUUUCUGCGACGAAGCGUUUCGAAUCGUUAUUUAUCGAAAUUGACUCCAGAACUCUAACGGCUUGGAUUUUCGAGUGGGAUUUUCCAUUUUGGAUAACCAAAAGAAACGAAGAUAAGCAAUUUUCAUUGCUCGUGAGGACUAAUCUGUGCACUUUCUCCCUGACUCCAUUUUCAAGUAACAUCAAAUCCAAAACCCGAACAAUCAAUUCCAAAAUC
rnacentral:misc_RNA from 1 species